rnacentral:lncRNA from 1 species
AUGGUCCAAGGCUUGAGAGAGGGCUCCAGGGUGUUAAAAAAGCUGCCUAGUAGCUGCAGAGAGGGGCUUCAGGUUCUUCUCUAUGAGAAGGGCGGCCUCCAUAGCGUCCUGGGUUUUACCCCACUCAUCUUGAGAUGGCUUCUGCACGUCCAGGAAGAGGGCCAAUUCGCGAAAAAAGUGACCCACACCCUCCAGGGCCACAUCGUCGCGGUCGAAAUAGAAGCCCAGAGAGAGGUAGGUGUAGGAGGCCCGCAGUUGCAUGUUAACCAGGCGGUUGACGGCGGCCUCCACCUCGGUAGAAUAAUUCUGACGAAUCUGGGAGCUCAUGAUUGGUCGGUAAUAAUAAGGAGUUAA